rnacentral:rRNA from 1 species
CGGGGUGAGUAAUGUCUGGGAAACGUGCCUGAUGGAGGGGGAUAACUGCUGGAAACGGUAGCUAAUACCGCAUAACGUCGCAAGACCAAAGAGGGGGACCUUCGGGCCUCUUGCCAUCGGAUGUGCCCAGAUGGGAUUAGCUAGUAGGUGGGGUAACGGCUCACCUAGGCGACGAUCCCUAGCUGGUCUGAGAGGAUGGCCAGCCACACUGGAACUGAGACACGGUCCAG